AACGAACGCUGGCGGCAUGCCUAACACAUGCAAGUCGAACGAUGCUUUCGGGCAUAGUGGCGCACGGGUGCGUAACGCGUGGGAAUCUGCCCUUGGGUUCGGAAUAACAGUUAGAAAUGACUGCUAAUACCGGAUGAUGUCGAUAAGACCAAAGAUUUAUCGCCUGAGGAUGAGCCCGCGUAGGAUUAGCUAGUUGGUGUGGUAAAGACGCACCAAGGCGACGAUCCUUAGCUGGUCUGAGAGGAUGAUCAGCCACACUGGGACUGAGACACGGCCCAGGCUCCUACGGGAGGCAGCAGUGGGGAAUAUUGGACAAUGGGCGCAAGCCUGAUCCAGCAAUGCCGCGUGAGUGAUGAAGGCCUUGGGGUUGUAAAGCUCUUUUACCCGAGAUGAUAAUGACAGUAUCGGGAGAAUAAGCCCCGGCUAACUCCGUGCCAGCCGCCGCCGUAAAAC
rnacentral:rRNA from 1 species